UCCUACGGGAGGCAGCAGUGGGGAAUUUUGGACAAUGGGGGAAACCCUGAUCCAGCAAUGCCGCGUGAGUGAAGAAGGCCUUCGGGUUGUAAAGCUCUUUUGUCAGGGAAGAAACACCGGCUCUAACACAGUCCGGGAAUGACGGUACCUGAAGAAUAAGCACCGGCUAACUACGUGCCAGCAGCCGCGGUAAUA
rnacentral:rRNA from 1 species